rnacentral:lncRNA from 1 species
UAGUACUUCUGAGAACUGAAGUUGUCUCACUGCUAUGAAAGCUUAAUGUAAACUGAAAAUAGCUUGACAUUUUGUCUACUGGUAUUUCUUUCCUGUAGCCCUCACAGAUUCCACUUCCACCUGUAUAAUGGGGAGAGCCUGCUUUCCUGUGUGUUGCCCUUUAUACGAGACUAAGGUGUAUGUAAGUCAUUCAGUUAAAGGACCCCACUAACCUAUGGAAUUGGCUGGUGGGCUUCAGGUAAUUGUUAUAUGAUUUAUGAACAUAACUAUUGGAAGUUGACAGAUGUAUUAUUUUUCAUUACAUGAUCAGCAUGUCAUCAAUGGCUCCAUUGGUAGAGCAUGACGCUUGCAACGUCAGGAUUAUGGGCUCGAUACCCGGGACCACCCAAACGUAAAAUGUAUACACUUAUGACUAUGUCCCUGUGGAUAAAGGCGUCUGCUAAAUGGCAUAUAAUAUAUUAUCAAUGAUCAAUAUAUUUAGAUUUCCUGACAGAAACCAGGAGUUCCCUUUGGCCAGAGGAACCCUAAUCACUGACUGUUACAAAGACUUGGGCUUCAUGGGUUUCAUCUACACCCUGGUCACUAAGUCAAUCAAGACUACAAGGAUUCCACCUACAUGAAAGUGUGCCAGCUGGUUGUGAAGGUGGUCGAUGAAGUCCCAGCUGGUGGACACCCUGGCCCUGCAGAUCAGCAAGUCACGGCAAGGAGCCCCUGCUGCCCAAAGUGGGCCUGGGCUGCCUCAUCGUCCUCCUGCAGAACCAAAAUGAGGGCAUUGUUGGCCCAAAGUGAGUGAAGAAGAGGCAUUGAAAGAAUUUUACUCUGAGACUAUUUCAUCACUUUGUCAUCUUAGGCCCUAUAUUGUCAGAAUUUUUGUGUUGCUUCAUUGGCGUUGUCUUUGUGCUCUUUAGAACCUCUGGCCAGAUGUGUGCUGUGACUUCUUUGGUCCCCACCCUCCAGGCCACGGCAUCAGGCCCUUACUCUGCUACCUGGUUCACGCCGUUGUCUCCUCCAGCACUGAUCCUCAGGGACUCGAGACACCUCCCUCCUGCUGAGCCUGAAGCACCCGCUCCCCUCCCUGAGGCACACGGCUGUGGAACAGCUAUUGGGAAUUGUCACCUCGGGACAGGAGGGCUUUGACCGGGCCUUCCUAUAGGAGGCCCUGUUGGAGCGCAUGAAGGAGGACGGCCCCGAGGUGGUGGCUGCAACUUUGAAGGCUCUGGAGGUGAGUGGCUGGAACAUUAGACUUUCAGGUACGUUCAUAUUGGAAUCUACUAGGAUUAAA